rnacentral:rRNA from 1 species
CCGCGCAAAGUUCGCGCCGCACUCGGCCCAGCCUGCUUAGGCCAUCCUAACACGGCCGCAGGCCGCAGUCUCUCUCCCCGACGCCUCUCUCUCCUUCCCCAAAUCGCCACCGCCGCGGACUCCCAGCACCGCGGCAGCCUCCGGCGAUCUCCCGCGCCGCCGCGUACCAGCGCCUCUCCGCCUCGCCUCUCUCCUCAAGACCCCCUGCCGCCGCGAAAUCCUCCGAGCCGACACCCUUCUCCCCAACCUUCCACGACGGCGGCGACGGCGUGAUUUAGUCGGAGCCCCAGCAUCUAGUAGCAGAAGCUCCGCCUCGAACGGCAAAGGGCUCGGCCGCACGGUGGAAGCAGGGCUUCCGCUUCGUUCCCGACGGCACAGCCCCCUAAAUCCUGCGCCUAAACCUUCCAAAUCUCGAGUGGGCCAAGAGUUUGUUCGGAGUGUCACUUGCCGCUUCCCUAAUCAGCCGGAGGCGGCGGCGGUAGGAAUGUCGGACGAAGAUGGCGACCCCGACUGGCUUACUGCCUUCAAGGCACCAAGUACUGCACCGGUGAUGCUUUCUUCUGAUUCCGAUCGUUCUCGUGGAAAUAGCCCUACAAGAACUGCUCCAUCUAAUCAAGAAGAAAAGGCUCCGAGGAAGAAGUUGAUGCUCUCAUCUGAUUCUGAAGCUUCUCCUGGAAACAGCCCUUCAAGGGCUGGUGACGCUGAUGAAGAAGAGGACUCACUUGCCAAUACCAGGAAAAAAGAUGAUCAGCAAUCUAAGGGUAAAAAAACAAAGGUUGCUGUAAGAAAAGUUCCUGCGAAAAGAGAUGAUACCUUGGAACAACCCGAAGAUGAAGCUAAUGAGGAAAAAAUGCAGGACAAGCUUGUGGAUAAUUCUGUCUCCCAGAGGUUGCCAUUGACCAUUGCUGAUAAAGUUCAACGUUCAAAGGCAUUGGUUGAAUGUGAUGGUGACUCGAUAGACUUGAGCGGAGAUAUUGGAGCUGUCGGUAGGAUAGUAAUUUCAAAUGGUCCGACUGGAAAUCAUGAUUUGUUACUGGACCUGAAAGGAACAGUGUACAAAUCAACUAUAGUGCCAUCCAGGACAUUUUGUGUUGUCAGCGUGGGACAAACAGAAGCAAAGAUAGAGGCUAUCGUGAAUGACUUCAUUCAGUUGGAACCUCAUUCCAAUUUAUUUGAAUCAGAGACUAUGAUGGAAGGUACCCUUGAUGGAUUCACAUUUGAUUCAGAUGGAGAGGGUGAUAGGCUUCAUGAACUUAACGCUUCUCAGAAUGAUCCAAACAAUGAGAAUGAAGAUCAACCUAAGGGGAAAACCAAAAGGAAAGCAGCCGUGAAGCCAGCGGCUAAGGGACAGAAGAAGGCAAAGGUUGCUAAGAAGGGAACAAGGAAAACCCAAACAACGAAGAGAGCGAAGAAGGCAAAGAAAUAGUUGCUUGCCGAAGAACUGGGGUAUUCACUCUGAACUAGUUUGUGAAAUAGCAAGGUUGAGGAUUCUCUCUGAACUGACACAACGAAGCGUUGCCCUAUAACUGAUCCAGGUUUGGAUAUAGGGUAGCUGUUGGUGAGCCCACAUGUUACAUGAUCUGGGCUAAUUGGUGUACCAUGUUGUACUUUUUUUAGGAAGACAAGGGGAAACACAGUGUUGUAAUGCUAAUACCAUAUACUGUGUACUGGUAGUUAGCCAAUUCAGUAUCGAGAAAUCGAACACUUCAUAUUUGUUUGUAAUAAGGAGAUGUGCCUUGUUAUGCAUGUGCAGUGAUUCCAUUGUAUUCAAAUGUAACAUGCAGUUGUGUGAUUAGAGUAGGAAAAUGGAAUUCUGAAUGUUUACAGUUUGCGAACGUCAUUUCAG